UAUGGAAACACCAAAUGUAGCACAAAGAAAGUAUUAAUUGAAAUGAAUGUUCUACAUUAUUUCACUAUGGUAAAGUUUAUUAUGAAAGACUGCUUACUUAAAAGUGCUCUUUUUACUUAUUAGGUUUUAAGGAGAAUGUAACAGGUUCCAGGGCCUCUUACCUGCGUGAUUCAUCAUCCAGGUUUUGCACAAAUUGUCUAAAUCCCUACACACAGAACAUUUAUUGUACCGACUAUAAGCCUUUGAGGUGCAGGACUAGACUAUCUAUUCAGAUAAAUGGCAUAUCAAAGCUUUGUCAGCUGGUGCUAUUUAAGACGACACUAUAAGGUUAUCAUCCUGUCGUGUGUUGUUCUCCAGAUAUGCUUGGAGCUUCCUGAUCAGAUCGGUCACAAUUUUGGCUUUCGACGACCCCUGCACUGAAGAUGGCAUGCAAUCAUGUCCUCCUUUGAAGGUCUCUCAAACUGUGAUGCCAGGUCCAUUGGAAUCGGGGUUUCCUUCAGCUUAUCUUCAAAUACCUCAUCAAACACAAGCCUGAUCACAUCAUCCACAUAACUGUAGAAAUAUUGCAGUCAAUAAAUCUUUUGUUUUGAUCAUUUAUUUCCCUGCUUCAUACAUUAAGUUUUUAAUUAUGAAUGUAUUUGAAAUAAAACAUUACUGCUUA